GUGCCAGCAGCCGCGGUAAUACGUAGGGGGCAAGCGUUGUCCGGAAUUAUUGGGCGUAAAGCGCGCGCAGGCGGUCUUUUAAGUCUGAUGUGAAAGCCCACGGCUUAACCGUGGAGGGCCAUUGGAAACUGGAGGACUUGAGUACAGAAGAGGAGAGUGGAAUUCCACGUGUAGCGGUGAAAUGCGUAGAGAUGUGGAGGAACACCAGUGGCGAAGGCGACUCUCUGGUCUGUAACUGACGCUGAGGUGCGAAAGCGUGGGUAGCGAACAGGAUUAGAUACCCUGGUAGUCC
rnacentral:rRNA from 1 species